rnacentral:rRNA from 1 species
AGUGAACGCUGGCGGUAGGCCUAACACAUGCAAGUCGAACGGCAGCACAGUAAGAGCUUGCUCUUACGGGUGGCGAGUGGCGGACGGGUGAGGAAUACAUCGGAAUCUACUUUUUCGUGGGGGAUAACGUAGGGAAACUUACGCUAAUACCGCAUACGACCUACGGGUGAAAGCAGGGGAUCUUCGGACCUUGCGCGAUUGAAUGAGCCGAUGUCGGAUUAGCUAGUUGGCGGGGUAAAGGCCCACCAAGGCGACGAUCCGUAGCUGGUCUGAGAGGAUGAGAAGAGACACUGGGAAUGAGAGACGCGGCACACACCUCCGCGAGGGGCAGGAGUGGAGAAUUGUGCACUAGGCGCGAGAGUCUGACAGAGACAUCGCGCGGGUGAAGAAGGCCUUCGGGUUGUAAAGCCCUUUUGUUGGGAAAGAAAAGCAGCAGGUUAAUACCCCGCUGUUCUGACGGUACCCAAAGAAUAAGCACCGGCUAACUUCGUG